GUUGUAAGAGUUCCCUUUGACUGAAAACAAGAAGCCCCGACUGACUUAGUGUGUGCUGUCGGAUGGUAACAAUGCCUUUUCCCCUUUUCCUCCUCUCAGCCACAUAUCAGAUACUCCACUUACAUCAUACAAACAUACCCCGAGGAGAAUGUUCUGGCUUACAACAACUCUCACAGAUUAUUUUUGCUACUUGUAUAUGUCUGCUAAAGUCUGAAAAUCUUGCGCAUGGGUAAAAUGGAUUAGACCUAGUCUUUCACAUUUUGAAAAGCACAGAGAGUUCCCUCAAUAUUAUAGGAAGAAAAGCUCUGUGGCCAUCAUCCACUGGGAGUUUGGACACAGGAGAAGCUGUGGCCAAGUCUGUGUCAUGUGUCUGUUAGGGCACAGUACUCUUGAGGUUCACAGCAGGUCCCUUGACCUUUCUCGACACUUGUGCCUAAUGCUAGAGUUGAUGUUGUACUGUCCCCUUCAUUAGUGCUAUUUGAUCGACACAGUUUUACUUUUUAAAAGGAAAAAGCAAUGAAAUAUGUACCACAAAAGAGAAGUAUGAGAAGAGAGGCAUUCUGCUGGAGUACUCCCUAGAAGGGCCAGUUGAUUUUAAGCUUAAGUCUGUGAUUGACAUUUUUUAUCUCACUAAAUGCGGUUCAAGUGAGAGUAUAUGAGUGAUCAGAAAAUAAUGCCAUAUGUCAAAUUUUUUCUUCACUCUGUUUUUGAGAGUUGAUGACAUGAGGCACUUUCAGAGUUUGGGGACAUUGAAAGGUAUGUGGAGAAUACUGGGAUAACUCCCCAAACCAACUCGUCUGUAAUGGGAAGCCCGUAGUUGGUGUUUGGAACUGCUGUGGCCUCCUCCUUCACUGUCAUCCUGUUCACCAGCACUUAAUUAAUGACAGUAAUGAUACAGCUGGUGAAAUUUCCCCACUGACUCUGCAACCUCAGAACAGCAUUUGGGAGGCCCACGACUGCUUUGCAAUGAAGUCCCUGUCCCCCAGCACUAAGGCAUUGCAGGAAGAUGAACGCAGGUUGGAAAGGGGGCAGCACAAUUCCAGCAUGACCUGAGCCGGCAAACGGAGAAAAGCGAUCAAAAGCGAUCGGACAACCGUACCGAAUCACAAACACAGAGAGAGCCAGUCCCUGUAAUUAGUGACACCACAUGCAGCCUGGCUGUGGUACCAUUCCUGGACCUUCACUGAGCUUCUUCCAGCCAUGUCAAGAAUUGACCCAUGGCCUGC